GAACUGGACUGCACCCUCAUUCAUUCAAAUGACACUGUUAAAGCAGUGCCGUUGUUAAAGCAUAACGAGCCCCAACAUCCAGCUGUCUUGCACUGCUUAUUUACAGCAUGCAUGAGUCAUCCACCCCGUUACUCCGUCCAACAGAAGCUGCGACUGCGCUGCAAACGAAUGGUGAAGAUCUUCUUGCUGGCUCAGUGCAGAGUCUCAUGCAUGUGUGUGUUUGACAGGUGCGUUUUGUUUGUGAAGCGAGUUUUCUAUAAGUCUGACGCAUGUACUCACACGCAUGUACACACACUCUCGGUUACUUAUAUGUACAUCAUUAUCAAUUUGUCGCUCGCUCUCACACACUAUUCCUUUUGAAGUAUCUCCCUCUCCCACCACAUUCUCUGUUGUAGUAUCUCUCUCCCCAACAUUUGCAGUAUCUCUCUUCUAUAUUUGCUGUUUUAGAAUCUCUCUCUCUCUCCCUUAUGUAGCGGCAACAGCAGAACAGCGGCAUGAACAAUAAUUACAUACUAAUACAAAAUGCUCGUUUGCCGCAUUUUUAUUUUCACACGCUCACAAGUGUGUUUGCUUCGCUCCGCUCUCUCGCAUUCGCUCUCUCCUUCUCUGUCUCUCUCUCUUUGUUGUGGCCGCAUCAGACGCGACUGAACACGAUGCGACUUGGCCAAGUGCUCUCUCUCUCUCCUUCACAGUUUAUUUUCGAUCGCUUUCCGUAGCAGUUGUCAUUCCUCCUCCUUUUGAGUUUUUUUUGCAAUCACUCAGAGGUCGCGCGGUGCGCUGCGGGUGUGCACUAAACAUACACAUAUAGUUACACAAAAUAUACCCAUAUAUAAGUGGAAAAUUCUUGUUGUUGUACGUCAGUUUUCCCCACU